rnacentral:rRNA from 1 species
UACGGGGGGAGCAAGCGUUGUUCGGAUUUACUGGGCGUAAAGGGCGCGUAGGCGGCCACCGCAAGUCGACUGUGAAAUCUCCGGGCUUAACCCGGAAAGGUCAGCCGAUACUGCGGGGCUAGAGUGCAGAAGGGGCAACUGGAAUUCUCGGUGUAGCGGUGAAAUGCGUAGAGAUAUGGAGGAACACCAGUGGCGAAGGCGGCUUCCUGGUCUGUAACUGACACUGAGGCGCGAAAAGCGUGGGGGAGCAAACAGG